rnacentral:rRNA from 1 species
UCUGGUUGAUCCUGCCAGUAGUCAUACGCUCGUCUCAAAGAUUAAGCCAUGCAUGUGUAAGUAUAAAUAUUUAACUUUGAAACUGCGAAUGGCUCAUUAUAUCAGUUAUAGUUUAUUUGAUGAAAAGUACUACUUGGAUAACCGUAGUAAUUCUAGAGCUAAUACAUGAUAAAAUCCUCGACUUUGAAGAGGUGUAUUUAUUAGAAUGAAACCAAUAGACUUCGGUCUGUUUGUGAGUAAUAAUAACUAAUCGUAUCGCAUGCUUAGGUAGCGAUAUGUCUUUCAAGUUUCUGCCCUAUCAGCUUUGGAUGGUAGUGUAUUGGACUACCAUGGCAGUAACGGGUAACGAAGAAUUUGGGUUCGAUUUCGGAGAGGGAGCCUGAGAGAUGGCUACCACAUCCAAGGAAGGCAGCAGGCGCGUAAAUUACCCAAUCCUGACAUAGGGAGGUAGUGACAAUAAAUCACAAUGCGGAACUAUUAGUUUUGCAAUUGGAUUGAGAACAAUGUACAAAUGUUAUCGAUAAACAAUUGGAGGGCAAGUCUGGUGCCAGCAGCCGCGGUA